rnacentral:lncRNA from 1 species
UGAGAAAAAUGCACUGUGGUGUGUGGAACAAUGGCUCUGCAAAGAUGUCCACAUCCUGAUCUCUGGAACCUGCAUGACAAGCCCAAAUUGGCAAAUGGCGGCCUUAGUUUCCAGUCCAAUGGAACUAUUUUCAUGUCCUCUGGUGGAAGCAUUCCUCCCUUGGGCUUCUCUCAUGGAUCACAGGAUGCCUGUAGGAACUUGCACAGCCAUUUGACUCCUGAGUCAACCUGAAAGCGCCAACUUGAGAGUGCGAGGGAGUUAACUAGCAACUGGGAAACCCUUGACCAAUGAGGAGCACGAGCUGGGAAGUCACAGUCGCCACAGUCGGAGCCGCCGCCGCCUGGAGCAGCCGGCACCCCCGCCUCGCCGCCCCCCUCCGCGCCCCCCGGCGGUCGGAGAAGACCUUCAACAGCCCCGCGCCUUCAAACAAAGAGAAGACGCCCGACUUAUCCCAGAGCAGCGUCCAACCAAAAUCCCGGUGAUAACAGAACGAUACAAGGGUGAGAAGCAUCUUCCUGUCCUGGAUGAAACCAAGUUCCUUGUACCUGAUCAUGUCAACAUGAGUGAGCUCAUCAAGAUAAUUAGAAGGCGCUUACAGCUCAAGGCUAAUCAAACCUUCUUCCUCUUAGUGAAUGGAUACAGCAUGGUGAGCUGUACACGCCGAUUUCUGAAGUAUAUGAAAGUGAGAAGGAUGAAGAUGGAUUCCUGUCCAUGGUAUACGCCUCUCAGGAGACAUUUGGGCUGAAAUUGUCAGUGUUGAACCACCAUCAGAAUUCCCCACUAAGUGCGUGUCAGUUGUGAAGAAAACACAGCAAGAGGAGACACGAGCUCUUCCAGAUGUUAACGGCAAGGGUUAAACAUUUUCCAAGUCCAACUAGAAUACAUGACCAAUGCUUCCUCCUGCCUGCAUGGGGUUCGUAUUUCCUGUUUUUGUGGGAGUCUCACAGACCACUUAGACUGUACGUGUAGAGGUCACGAUUUACCCUUGUGUAGUUAGAUGUGUGAAAUAUGUAUCUGUUAGCGGAAGUUACCUUUGGUAACGGAGGGGAAAAGCAAUAUUACUGCAUCUGGGCCUUCAACCCCCAACCUCCCAUCAGCUACUCUUCCCGCUGCAUGCCUCUGUCCACAUGGCUAACUUUUAAUAUGUAUGUUUUUACAUUAUGUAAAUCCUUAAUCAGACUGUCUUGUUUAGAUUGUAUAUGCCAUUAUAUCGGACAUUCUUGUAACUACUGUGUGGUCAAUAAGAUUCCUGUAAGAAAUUCUGCUUUUUAAAAAACAAAA